GGCUUCCCAAAUGCGCGCCCCCGACCUGGUGCCAAGCGCGCCCCCUUCAUUUGUUCCCCUUCUUGAAGCUCAUUUUCAUGACGUGGAAAAGCCUGAUCCAGGGCAACACCACCACACACACACACACACACGGAGAGAAAGAGAGAGAAGCCCGAGAUUCUCCGCUGUGAUUGAGCCUCCCUCCUUCUCCCUCCCAAUGAUGUGCUGCUGCUGCCCAGAGAAAGCAGCAGCCCCAGAGCUGGGAGCCUGCAGCAGCCCCCUUCUCCUCCCUCCUCCAUUGAGUGUGCCAAACAGCAGCUCUGCAUCCUAAAGAAGCUUAUUGAGGAGCUCAUUGCAUUCCCAGCACGUUUCAGGCUUGCUUGCCUUUUUUUUCUUCCCUUUUGCCUCAGCCUCAGCAGGAGUAGAGAGAGAGAGAGAGUGAAACCAGCAAUCCUUAAACUCGAGCUUUUUAAAAUUGUAUUUAUUUAUUUAUUUUCAGAUGUGCUAAAAUUUCUCCUGCAAACCGUUUUGUAAUCAGCCACAAAUGAUGAAACCUCCCACGGCAGAGACUCUCCAUAAAGAAAGGAUGUUGUGGGUAAUUCUUCUAAGCACAAUAGCUCUAGCAUGGACUACACCAAUUCCCUUGAUAGAGGACUCAGAGGAAAUUGACGAGCCCUGCUUUGAUCCAUGUUACUGUGAAGUAAAAGAGAGCCUUUUCCAUAUACAUUGCGACAAUAAAGGAUUUAUAAAUAUUAGUCAGAUAACGGAGUCGUGGUCAAGACCUUUUAAACUUUAUCUGCAGAGGAAUUCCAUGAGGAAAUUAUACACUAACAGUUUUCUUCAUUUGAACAAUGCUGUGUCUAUUAACCUUGGGAACAAUGCACUGCAGGACAUUCAGACAGGAGCCUUUAAUGGGCUCAAAGUUCUGAAGCGAUUGUACCUGCACGAGAAUAAAUUAGACAUUUUCAGAAAUGACACUUUCCUGGGUUUGGAAAGUCUGGAAUAUCUGCAGGCAGAUUAUAACGUCAUUAAACGGAUUGAAAGUGGGGCAUUUCGAAAUCUGAGCAAACUGAGAGUCUUGAUCUUAAAUGACAACCUUAUCCCCAUGCUUCCCACCAACCUGUUUAAAUCAGUGUCCUUAACUCAUUUGGACUUGCGGGGAAACAGGUUAAAAGUCCUUUCCUAUCGAGGGAUGCUGGACCAUAUUGGCAGGAGCCUGAUGGAAAUCCAGCUGGAGGAGAACCCUUGGAACUGUACCUGUGAGAUUGUGCAGCUGAAAAGUUGGCUGGAGCGCAUCCCUUACACUGCCCUUGUGGGAGACAUAACCUGUGAGACCCCCUUCCACUUCCAUGGUAAGGACCUGAGGGAAAUCAAAAGGAGUAAACUCUGCCCCAUGCUGUCUGACUCUGAAGUCGAGGCCAGUCUGGGGAUUCCUCAGUUGUCAUCUAGCAAGGAGAACGCAUGGCCUACUAAGCCUUCCUCCAUGCUAUCCUCCUUCCAUUUCACUGCUUCCUCUGUUGAGUACAAAACAUCCAAUAAGCAGCCCAAACCCACCAAGCAGCCCAGAGUGCCCAAACCUCCCCCUACAUCCCGAGGCCUGUAUCCUGGGCCAAACCAGCCUCCUAUAGCUGCAUAUCAGACAAGGCCCCCGAUCCCCAUCAUAUGCCCUACUGGGUGCUCUUGUAGUUUGCACAUCAACGACUUGGGCCUGACAGUCAAUUGCAAAGAAAGAGGAUUUCACAACAUCUCCGAGCUCCUGCCAAGGCCCUUGAACGCCAAGAAGUUGUAUCUGAGCGGCAAUUUGAUACAGAAAAUCUACCGCUCAGAUUUCUGGAAUUUUUCUUCCUUGGAUCUCUUACACCUUGGGAACAACCGUAUCUCCUACGUGCAGGACGGGGCUUUUAUUAACCUGCCUAACCUGAAGAGCCUGUACCUGAACGGCAAUGACAUCGAGAGGCUGACUCCAGGCAUGUUCAGGGGCUUGCAGAGCUUGCAUUACCUGUACUUCGAGUACAACCUGAUCAGGGAGAUCCAGCCCGCAGCCUUCAGUCUCAUGCCCAAUCUGAAGCUGCUCUUCCUCAAAGACAACCUGCUGCGGACUCUGCCCACCGAUGCCUUUGCAGGCACCUCCCUGGCCAGGCUCAACCUGAGGAACAACCACUUCCUCUACCUGCCCGUGGCGGGGGUGCUGGAGCACCUCCACGCCAUCGUGCAGAUCGACCUCAAGCUCAACCCCUGGGACUGCACCUGCGACCUGGUGCCGCUCAAGCAGUGGAUCGAGACCAUCAGCUCGGUCAUCGUGGUGGGGGACGUGCUGUGCGCCAGCCCGGAGAACCUCACCCGCCGGGACGUGCGCUCGGUGGAGCUGGAGGCGCUGUGUCCGGAGCUGCUGCACGCAGCGGCCGCCUCGCCCGCCCCGCCAGGGGGCAAGCCCAGCCCCAGCAGCCCCUCGGCCUACGAGCUCUCCCCGCCCGGCGCCGCUGCCGUGCCGCUCUCCGUGCUCAUCCUCAGCCUGCUGGUCCUCUUCUUCUCGGCCGUCUUCAUCGCCGCGGGGCUCUUCGCCUUCGUGCUGCGCCGGCGGCGCAAGAAACUGCCCUUCCGCAGCAAGCGGCCGGAGGCGGGGGACCUGAGCGGCAUCCACAUGCAGUGCCACCGCUUCUUCGAGGAGGGCGGCCGCGUGGCGGGCGGCGGGGGCGCCUCGCCGGAGAAGGCUCACCCCGUGGGGCACGUCUACGACUACAUCCCCCACCCGGUGACCCACAUGUGCAACAACCCCAUCUACAAGCCGCGGGAGGAGGAGGCGGAGCGGGAGGAGGGCGGCGGCGGCGGCGGCGAGGCCGGCGAGCGCCUGGGGGGAGGCGGGGCGGGGGAGCCGUUCGCCGAGCCCGGCCACCAGGAGAACAGCACCCACUACCGGACCUUGCUGGAGAAGGAGCAGGAGUGGAGCCUGGCCGUGUCCAGCUCCCAGCUCAACACCAUCGUGGCCGCCACCCACCCGCACCACCACCACCACCACCCGGCCGGCGGCGGCGGGCUGGCGGUGGCGGGGGAGCUGGCGCUGGCGCCGCCCGGCUUCCCCCACGAGAAGAACGGCGGGGUGUUGCUCUUCCCGCCGGCCGGCGCCGGGCUGGACAGAGAGCGGCUGCCGCCGCCUUGCACGGUGGGUUUCGUGGACUGCCUCUACGGCACUGUGCCCAAGUUAAAGGAACUGCACGUGCACCCGCCGGGCAUGCAGUACCCGGACCUGCAGCAGGACGCCAGGCUGAAGGAAACCCUUCUCUUCUCGGCCGGCAAGGGCUUCCCAGACCACCCCCCUCCAAGCGAAUACCUCGAGUUAAGGGCCAAACUCCAAACCAAGCCGGAUUACCUCGAAGUCCUGGAAAAGACAACCUAUAGGUUCUGACCGGAUAGCUUUUCCCCCUCCCCGGCCCUGGCCCGCCAGUAGUGCCCCCGGCCCCCCUUCUCCAGCCCCAGUGCAAGCGCAUGAUGAGAAUAGAGAAUACAGCUGUGUGCUCUUCCCCAACAGAGAUGUGUGUUUGGGGGAAGGGCCAUUCUCAGAUCAUUAAUCAAUGAAGUGCCUUCGCAGACUUGCCAGCAGAUGUUAAUCAUUAUUUUUUAUACUGAAACUGAGACUUUGACUGUGCCAUGUCUAAGACGCGUCCACACAGCUCCCCACCCCAGCCGCCAGUCGGGUUCCCAGCCACUCCGAUCGGCUCCCCUCCCGUUCCGCUCGCCCUUCCCCUCCUCUCCUCCUGGAGGGGGGAAUUCCAUAUCCAGUGUGAAGUCAUCCGAAAGGAAGAAGCCCAUUGGAUGUAACCACGUGGCGCACGCACACACACCUAGGGAUGAUCAAUGACACUUCAUGACGCCAUGAGUUUUUGGAGGACAUCCGCACUUCCUUGUUAAAACAAACCCAUGCAAAUAUACAAUAAAAAUAAAAAAAAAACUGGGUACCUAUCACUAACGGCUUUGUAGGAAGCACUUUUAAUGUUUUCUCUCUCUCUCACACACACACACACACACACAAACAACAAUGUGCAUAUAUUUAUUCUGUAAUUUCAAAUGAAUAUAAAUUGUAAAGGUAAUGUUUAAUCAUUCAUUGUACAGUGAUGCGUCUGGUAUAGCUUUCCUAAUAAAAAGUUUUGAAAAAAAUACAUAUAGAUAUAUAGAGGCUACAAAGCUUGAACCUAAAAUUUCAGCUUACCCUCCCCCUACCAAUGAUUACUUCUCGCACCUUAAUCCUGAAAGCUAUUUUAUUAAUCACUGUUCAGUGCACUGUGACGUUAACAGGGAGGAAAAAAAUCUGUACAACUUCUGCCACAAUACCACUUAGGACUUUAAAAAUCCGAUUUGAAACCUGUUUUUCUUCCACAUUGCACUGUAACUAUGUCAGAGUAUCUUCUAUUUAAAAAUAAGCAGCAGAAUUAACCCAAUUUCUUCUACUAAUAUUGCUAGUAGAAUCUGUGUUCUGCUACAACCUAGGAGAAAAUAAGGCAUUAGUAUUGCAACUUUUCAGUGUUUAAAUUCACAUCAAUUAUAUGAGGAAAUGAAUAGAGAUUGGAGGAAGGCUUAGAUGUAAAUUUGAGUAUUUGAUACCAUUGCACUUGGAAUGUUCUCUCCUCUCGUUUGGAAAAGACUGAAACAAUAUGGGAAAUUCAGGCCUAAUAGCUGAGGUUUGCUGGGUCUCUCCCUUGCUUUGCUGCAGUCAGAACAACUAGGGGAGUGAGGCUGAUUUUACAAAAUGUGUGUCAUUAAAAUGAUGCUGCAAAAUAGACUUGCCGCGUCACCCAGUUUACAACCCACUUAGAUCUGAGCGAAACCAAAGAAAAACGGAUUUUUCUUUUAAGGUACUAGCUGGUAUCUUGUUCCUGGUAGAUCUGGAUGGAAACACAGGAAAAGCCGAGGGAAAGCUUUUUGGGGGGAGUUACCCAAUGUGGCCAGUAGAUGGCGCCGGAACUCCAGCGAUCGCAGCAAAAGCUGCAGCUGAGUUGUGCCGCCGGUCCGGUACUUUCCGCUUGGACUCGAGUGUGUCCUUAAUGGCAUGAAAUCGUUACGUUGAAUAUAAUUCACCAGACAUCACUAAUGCCUUACAUCAAGCUAGGGAACAAAUUAAAUGGGAAUGUGAAUGUCAGCUCCUUAGCCGUGCAGUUACGUCGCUGAGGCCCUCUCCUAAAAAUCUCAAAUAAUGAAUUUUAUACAGAAAUAUCAAAUCAAAAUAUAUUUUGUGUUAAUAAAAACAACA